UACGGGGGGGGCAAGCGUUGUUCGGAAUUACUGGGCGUAAAGGGCUCGUAGGCGGCCCACUAAGUCAGACGUGAAAUCCCUCGGCUUAACCGGGGAACUGCGUCUGAUACUGGAGGGCUUGAGUUUGGGAGAGGGAUGCGGAAUUCCAGGUGUAGCGGUGAAGUGCGUAGAUAUCUGGAGGAACACCGGUGGCGAAGGCGGCAUCCUGGACCAAGACUGACGCUGAGGAGCGAAAGCCAGGGGAGCAAACGGG
rnacentral:rRNA from 1 species